rfam:Schistosoma curassoni strain Dakar, Senegal genome assembly, scaffold: SCTD_contig0004027
AUCCAACUGACGAGUCCCAACUAGGACGAAACAUGGGUCCUCGAU